UGUUUUAAAAUUAUAAGGAAAUUUUCGAAUAUUUUAAGGUAGAAUUUUAAUUUUUGGAAAAAACAUUAAAUUAAAACAUAAAAUUUAUAUAAUGGACCAGGAUUAGAUACCCUGUUACUUAUAAUUAAAAAAUUUUGGAAUAGUAAUAAUAAUGAAAUUUAACGGAUUUGGCGGCAAGAUAGCCAUUUAGAGGAACCUGCCCUGUAAACGAUGAACCACGAAAUACUUUACUUUUAUUUGUUAUCAGUUUGUAUACCGCUGUUGUCAGUCAGUUUUUCUAGAAAUCUUUCUACUAUGAUAAAAUCAAAUACUUCAAGUAAAGGUGCAGCUUAUGUAAAAGAUAGAGGUGGGUUACAUUUAUGAAGAUUAAAACGAAUAAAGAUUUUUUGAAAAAUACUUUUGAAGGUGGAUUUAAAUGUAAAGUUUAAAGAAACUUGAUGUGAGCUCUAUCUUGUGUACACACCGCCCGUCGCUCUCUUUUUUAAAA
rnacentral:rRNA from 1 species